UACGAGGGGGGGCAAGCGUUGUUCGGAAUUAUUGGGCGUAAAGGGUGCGUAGGCGGUCUGAUAAGUCAUCUGUGAAAUCUAUGGGCUCAACCCAUAGUCUGCAGGCGAAACUGCCGUGCUCGAGUGUGGGAGAGGUGAGUGGAAUUCCCCGGUGUAGCGGUGAAAUGCGUAGAUAUCGGGAGGAACACCUGUGGCGAAAGCGGCUCACUGGACCACAACUGACGCUGAGGCGCGAAAGCUAGGGGAGCAAACCAGGG
rnacentral:rRNA from 1 species